CUGCUUCAGCAGCACACAAACUAAAAUUGGAACAAUACAGAGAAGAUUAGCGUGGCCCCUGCACAACGAUGAUGCGCAAAUUCGCGAAGUGUUCCAUAUUAAA
ensembl:snRNA U6 U6 spliceosomal RNA